UAUAAACCCACAACCUGUUGUAAAGUCACAUUUACAGCUAAAUAACACAAUUUCAUAAAAUACGGUAGAAGAGCUGAUGAGGGUUAAGAAAAUUCACUGUGAUGAGAAUAUAUGCAAAUUCUUUUAAAUAAAAAUACCAUACAAAACCUGCUACUAGCUUUAAUCUUAAUUAUAAAUUGUUGUUGCUGUUGUUUUUUGUUUUUCAUUUCAGUUAACUUACAAAUUAUUUUGGGUGGGAAUUUUACUGAACCUGGUUUAUUAAUGAACUCUGCAUUUUUAUCAUGUUAUUAAGUUGUAAAUAUGUCUUUAUUACAGGUUGUGCAGUUCAGACAUGUAGUUACACUCAUCUACCUGCAUAUUGUUAUUAGAAUUAUAUCAUAAUUAAUAUUUGUAUCUAUUCCUACUGUAUAAUUGAUCUUCUGUAGUCACUCUGUUUAUUACACUGUAAUCAGCGCUGUGUAAAAUAAAGUGUUUCUGUUACCAUUUACACCCUGUUCAGAUGUAGAAUCUGUCUCCCUCUAUAGAAAAUCAGACAUCAGAGCAGAAUCAGAGCCGGUCAGGAGCUGAAGACUCUCAGUCAGGUCACACACCACUUCAGGCUGGAAGUGAAAAUGUUUAUGCCGCUGUGGAUCAGACAGAUACGAGUGGAACAGGUGAAGCUGCAGCUGAGAGCAGAGAAGUCACUUACGCACAGGUCACGAAGAAAAAGAAGACAAACAGGAACAAUGGUGCUGAUGCUGAACCUGGUGUUACCGAUGUGACUUAUGCUGAGAUUGAACUAAAACCAAUGAUAAAAACAAAGAGAAUGAAAGAAAAUGCCAGUGUGGGUGAUGAUACUGUCUACUCAGAGCUGAAGCACAGCAUGGAGUGAGACAUGUGUCUGUGUACACUGAUGAAGCUACAGUUAUCACACAGACAGCUGGAAAACUGGGAUUUGUGUUUGUCUUCUGUUUUUCCUAAAAUGCUCAGAAAGUAGAAUCUGCUCAUCUACUUCCUGAACACAGGAACAUUGCUUAUUAUUUUUUUUUCUUUUACUGCUUUUCUAUUUCUACUUAUUCUGUUCAACGUGCACAAAUACAAUUAAUUUAAUAUACAUGUGGCUCAUUUGCGCAUUAAUAAUAAUAAUAAUAAUAAUAAUAAUAAUAAUAAUAAUAAUAAUAAUAAUACAGUUAAUUUUUAUUUAUGUACUUUCAAAUGGAUACAUUUAAAAGUAAAAGAAAAAUAAAAUAUGUAUUUUAUACAAAAAAAAAACAUUUGUAUAAAAUGAUUAUAUUUUUUUUUUUUUCCAAUUUAAAGCAUUAUUUAAGGUGAAACACGACACUCUAAAAUACUUAUUUUUCUGUUCCUCAUAUACUAAUCCCAUUGAGUGUACAUUGAUAAUUAAUUUAAUACACAUGUGGCUCAUUACAUUUAUUUCUUUUAAUCAUAAAUUUACACGUCAGUGCUUUUGGUUGGUUUUUGGUUGGAUACGAACACUUGGUAUCGGGUUCUGCACAUGCCAAAGAAGAAGAAACCUGAGUGAAGUGUGUAAGGCUUGUCACCGUUUUCUUACACAAAGUAAGUUAUUCUUGUUCAUGUACAAAACUUCACAGAGGAAAUAAUUAAUUAAGUUGAAAGUAAAGUUGGGUCGGAUGAAUAUUUUUAUUUUUGGUUUUGUAAAAUGCUGUCCUGGAGCACUGCUGCCACACACACACACACACACACACACCUUUUUAAAUACAUGUUGCUUUAGAUUUUUUUUUUCUCUUUAGAUCUUGUAUUUUUAUAAACAUUUUUAUAUUGUUCACAUUUACACCUUUACAAAUGACCUGAUGCUUUGUAAGUUGUCUCACCGCGUUCAUAAAUGUCACCUGAAAUGACUUUGUGGUUUAAACAGUGUUUGUAUAAUAAAAGGUUUAAUGCAUGCAUGAGGUACGAGACAGAAAGGAUGCUUACCUUAGAGAACUCGUUUUGUAAUUCAGCAAUGUUUAGAUAAAAUAUAAAUAAAAAUUUACAAGUCUGAAUGAAAUGUGUGUUAUCCAUGCCAUUAAAACAAAUAAAACUUUCCUUAUUACAUAUGUAUUUAUGUCUUUCCAUUCUUUUUGGUGUUUAUUUUAGACAGGCCAGACAGUGAGGUUGAUAGCAGUCAGGCAGGGCAGCAGCUUUCAGCAGGUUGUCCACAUUUAUAGCCAGACUACUGUAAAUGUGUUUAUAUUGUAUUGUAAUUCACAGUUCAAACAAACAGCUGCCUGAGAAACAUCUGCAUUAAAUAUACAUUUGUGCUGAAAGGCUUUUAACAGAGUAAUAACCACAACACUGACAGUAACCAGUAACAGAACAAGAAG